AUGGUAAAGGUGAUAGGAAAGCUAUACGAAUUUGAGGAACAUAGAGAUUUCUUGGUCAUUCCACAGGAGUUUCAGAGUGCAGUGAAAAUGUUUUAUAGAGCUCAGGCAUUUGAAGCUAUUCCCUGGGCACUGGCAGAAAACUCUGGGGUUAAGGCCAAUGAAGUAAUCUCUAAACUUUAUGCAGUACAUCAAGAAGGAAAUAAAAAUGUUGGAUUAGAUAUUGAGGCUGAAGAUCCUGCUCUAAAGGACAUGUUGGAGGCUGGUAUUCUAGAAACUUACAUGGGAAAAUACUGGGCUAUCAAACUGGCCACCAAUGCUGCCAUCACUGAACUUAGAGUGGAUCAGAUCAUCAUGGCAAAACCAGCUGGUGAACCCAAACCUCCAAGUGGGAAGAAAGACUGGGAUGACGACCAAAAUGAUUGAAUGGUUUAAUUUUUACUGU